rnacentral:rRNA from 1 species
AACGAACGCUGGCGGCAUGCCUAACACAUGCAAGUCGAACGAGACCUUCGGGUCUAGUGGCGCACGGGUGCGUAACGCGUGGGAACCUGCCCUUAGGUUCGGAAUAACUCCCCGAAAGGGGUGCUAAUACCGGAUAAUGUCUUCGGACCAAAGAUUUAUCGCCUUUGGAUGGGCCCGCGUUGGAUUAGCUAGUUGGUAGGGUAAAAGCCUACCAAGGCGACGAUCCAUAGCUGGUCUGAGAGGAUGAUCAGCCACACUGGGACUGAGACACGGCCCAGACUCCUACGGGAGGCAGCAGUGGGGAAUAUUGGACAAUGGGCGAAAGCCUGAUCCAGCAAUGCCGCGUGAGUGAUGAAGGCCUUAGGGUUGUAAAGCUCUUUUACCCAGGAUGAUAGUGACAGUACCGGGAGAAUAAGCUCCGGCUAACUCCGUG